AAACCGUUCAGGGGUAAACCUGAGAAACCCAAAAGAUCGAAUGGGGAGAUUCAUCGUCAGCUCAUUUUGUAUAUAUAUAAGUUAUGAUGUGGGUUACUACUUGUAGUAUUGCCUACACAUUCUUGUAUAUUUAGUUGCAAGAUGUUGUCGGCGUGCACUUCUCCCCUAGUAGAACGUCGCGACCCGUUGGAUGUCGGUUUACGGCCCAAGUGGAAGUUUUUCAUAUUUUAUUAUAUUAAAGGCCCUUGGUGUUUUCUAACCGGCUGUUCGGCGGUAUUCGUAUGGUAUUAAGCCGCAAUAUAUGCGUCCAUACCCGUCGCAAGCGAGGCAUAUUUUUAAUAGUACGGACCUAGUGCCGUCGCUGAAAGUGGCCAGCUGUUGGUUGUUACGGUGUUCUAGGACUGGCUAAUUUUUUUACCGGUCGGCGAUGCUACUGCUUUGGGUACUUUCAGGA
rnacentral:rRNA from 1 species